UGUGCUGUGCUUUUAUUUUGAAAGGGAAAGACAGGAAGAUCUCACCUGGUCAACAUUUGGAUUGGAGUUACUCUAAAGCAGGGGUGUCAAACUCUGUUCCUGGAGGUCCACUAUCCUCUAUGUUUUAGAUGUUUCCCUCUUCCAACACACCUGUUUCAAAUAAUCAGCUCAUCAUCAAGCUCAGCAGAAGCCUGAUAACGAGCCUGAUCAUUUGAAUCAGGUGUGUUGGAACUGAGUUUGACACCCCUGCUGUAAAGGCUGUGUGAAGCUGAGAGUUUGAACUGAUUUUCAGGCUGAAAUGCAGCUCCUGUGGAGGUAUUGGGUGUGAAGGUGGGUGUGGCACA